UAAAGCCACACUUGGGAAGGAAACUUUUGAAGUAUCCUUAUUUGAACUGUUCGGGCCUGGUAAGGGGUGUGAUUGGUGAACAGGAUUUGGCGAUAAAGUGGUGUUCUACUGGACUGGUUUCCUUAUUUGAAAGUUGACGGAGAGUCAACGUAGUCGGAUCAAGUACUGCAACGGGAAAUUUGGCUCCUGAGAGUCAUCUGUAUCCUUUUAUCUAAGUUGUUUGGUUCCUCUCCUUAUUUGAUACACCUAUGUGAUUAAUUGAGCGUGAAGUUCCUUGGUUCUUGACUGUGAUUAUUUUGGUACCUCAUUGAGCUUCUAACUCACUCCAUUCCGUUAUCCUUGUUUUCCUUAUAGGAAACCACAUUUUGGAGACUCUGAUAUGUUGAAACAUGAGUUGAGCUAGUUUGAAUCUUCUUUUGUGUAGCUCCUCAAUGUAUGGAAAACCUUAAAUGUAUUUUAACCAAACAAUUCCCUUUUGAAUUGUAAAUUUGCAACCAUGUGUAUAUAAAAAGUGUUUAACC